GAUGAAGAACGUAGCGAAAUGCGAUAAGUAAUGUGAAUUGCAGAAUUCAGUGAAUCAUCGAAUCUUUGAACGCACCUUGCGCCCUUUGGCCAUUCCGAAGGGCAUGCCUGUUUGAGUAUCAUGAACACCUCAACUCUUUAUGGUUUUCCAUGAUGAGCUUGGACUUUGGGGGUUUUGCUGGCCUAUGGUCGGCUCCUCUAAAAUAAAUCAGCUUACCGGUGUUUGGUGGGUAUCAUGGGUGUGAUAACUAUCUACGCUUGUGGUUUUUCCACCAGUUAACCUUCGACAGCGGAGGUUCACUGGAGCUCAUAGAUGUCUCUCCUCAGCGAGGACAGCCCUUUGAAUGUUUGAUCUCAAAUCAGGUAGGACUACCCGCUGAACUUAAGCAUAUCAAUAAGCGGAGGA
rnacentral:misc_RNA from 1 species